rnacentral:rRNA from 1 species
AGAGUUUGAUCAUGGCUCAGAUUGAACGCUGGCGGCAUGCUUUACACAUGCAAGUCGAACGGCAGCGAGGAGAAGCUUGCUUCUCUGUCGGCGAGUGGCGAACGGGUGAGUAUAGCAUCGGAACGUGCCAAGUAGUGGGGGAUAACCAAACGAAAGUUUGGCUAAUACCGCGUAAGCUCCAAGGAGGAAAGUAGGGGACCUAAAUAAGGCCUUACGCUAUUUGAUCGGCCGAUGUCGGAUUAGCUAGUUGGUGGGGUAAUGGCUCACCAAGGCAAUGAUCCGUAGCGGGUCUGAGAGGACGAUCCGCCACACUGGGACUGAGACACGGCCCAGACUCCUACGGGAGGCAGCAGUGGGGAAUUUUGGACAAUGGGGGAAACCCUGAUCCAGCCAUGCCGCGUGUAUGAAGAAGGCCUUAGGGUUGUAAAGUACUUUUGUUAGGGAAGAAAAGCUAGUUUUUAAUAAAAAUUAGUGAUGACGGUACCUAAAGAAUAAGCACCGGCUAACUACGUGCCAGCAGCCGCGGUAAUAC